AGGUCGCUCCUAGAUAGUCCAGGUCGCUCCUGGUACUAUGAGUUAGACAGAUAGCCUGUCAGAGCAGAGAUAAGAGAAGUCCAGGUGAUGACCUAGUCUCCUUGGCACAGUGGGACAUGUUAUGAUAUGAGACAGAUAAGAGAAGUCCAGGUGAUGACCUAGUCUCCUUGGCACAGCAGGACAUAUUAUGACAUGUAGUAGAGGGCUAUUGGUGACAAGUUCAUCCGUGAGAUGAUAUGUUUGUGAUGUGAUGCAUUUCAUGAAAACAUGUAAUGAAUGAAUUGUUUUAUUGUUCCUCCUCACUGGGCUAUAGAGCUCAUCCCACUCCCUUAACCCCAGUUUUGCAGGUUCUGAGAUAGCUAUGGGAAAUCAGAGUCAGCAAGAGUAAAGAAAGAUAUGCAUGAAUAUAUGUUUGUAAUAGCGUAGUGGACAUGAUGUAAAUAAAAGAUUAGUUGUAAUGUAAUGUAUAGACAUGUACUGUCAUACUGGAUAGACUUAUGCUUUCCCUAAUGUCUUUGCUUUAGUGUGAUGUAUGAUUAAUCCCUUGUACAUGAAUCUUGUUUUACGUUUCUUGAUGAGAAAUGUGUGUAUCAGGCUUAAUGUAUGGCUUUGAUGAGAUACCAGUGGAUUGUGUUACAGAUUAAAAGGGUUUCAAUCCCUUAACCCACAGCAGAUAGUAGUCACUGGUAUAGGCCCUGAGGGCCAUUUCAGAUUGGCAUAUCUGAGUAGCAGUAGUUAAGCCUGGAGAGUUUGAUAGGAUUGUUGAGUAUUUUUUAUCAUAUAUGAGAUUUAUCAGGUACACAGAGAGUAUAGUCGGCUUGCUACGGGUCCCGGCGGCCUUAAGCCGAUCUGGAUCCUAGAGCCAGUGAUGGUUCGGACCGUUACAGAGGGGUACCAGUUUCCGGGCUGUUACAGAUUGGUAUCAGAGCAUAGGGCCUCAAGAGUACGGUGUGUUGAGUAUUUUUGUUCAAGGACUAGAGAUAUCCCACAUCGGAAAGAGGUGUUGUCUUGUAUAGAAGGGUAAGCACAAUAGGCAAAAUCAUGUCCACUAAGAUAGGAUGUGGAGUCCUGUCUUGCAUGAUGAUGUGAAAUGCCAUGACAAGAUACAUGUGCAUUAGUGAUAUGUGAUAUAUAUGUUGUGGAUUCAUGUGUUCUAACAUGGAUCAUUUGAUGUUUUGUGUGAUGUGCUUUUCAGAAACAGGAUGAGAGGAACUCUCGAUCUGCUAGAUUGACUGGAGCUCCGCCGGAGAAUGAGGACAUGGAUGCCCAUCUCCCCGUUCUGCAAAGGGCAACAUCAGAUAGAUUAAGCAGAGAAGGUACAUCAAGGGACCCUAGAAGGUCUGUGUAGUAGGGAUUGUGAUAGAACAGAGAUAGUGCAUGCACAGGUUAAGCCUUGGAAUGACAAAAAGUUUUUAUGUUUUACAAAAAUGUAUGAUUAUGUAUGGGAUUUCACAGGUACACAGACAGGAUAGCAGGCUUACUACGGGUCCCGGCGACCUUAAGUCGAUCUGGAUCCUAGUGCCGAUAGCAGUUCGGUUUUCGGGCUGUUACAGUCUGUUGAUGAGAGUAGAAGGGGAGUCGUUCAGAGUGGUAUGUCAGGGGAUAUGAGGGAAGUAGAGGAGGAUGAGCAGAGCAGAGAUGGUAGCUUGGGCAUGAGUAUGUUAGGAGCAGAUAUGGGUGAGUCCCAAGGAGGCACUCAGGCCUCGAGAUUUGUUCCACCUCAGUAUCCGCCCUACCCGUGGGGGUCAGGGUAUCCGAUGGGUGGUACAGCGGGUUUCCCUAGGUAUAACCCAUAUCCCACCUUUAUGCCUUAUCCUUCCUUUUAUCUGCCAUAUCCACCGCCAUAUCCACAGUAUACCAUGUUUCCACCCUUCUUUGGUUAUCCAAGUUCAGUAAACCCUAACCCAGGGAAUGUUGCACCUCCUCCACCACCAGUAGAAUCAGUAGCCCCAGUUGUCCAAACACCUAAGCCUAGUUCACCUGGAGGAAGUACGGUACAGAUGACAGACUAUUUGAGGUUGGAUGUUCCCAAAUUUGAGACAGGUGAUGACCCUUUUGAGUAUCUCAGAACGGUCAAAAUGAUAAUUGAUGAGUUGGGAGCCAGUGAGAGUAGAGCCAUUCAGAUGGUAGGGGUCACAUUGAAAUGUAAGAAGGCAAGGGAAUGGUUCAACCAGUAUGUGGACCCGAGGGUAGAAAGCUUAUCCUGGCAGCAGUUUGCUACAGAGUUUGCCGGAUGGGCUUUUCCAGAUAGCUCAAGGGAGCGUAAGGAGAGUGAAUUUGAGCAGCUAGGGCAGACAGAAAACAUGAAUGUAGAAAAUUACCCAGAGAAUAGUGAUCAUUUCCCUUUGGGUGAGGUUGCUGCAAAGAAUAAAAAGAAAGUUAGAGCCCUGAAAGGGUCAAAGAAAAGAGAAAUUUGGACUAGGUUAAAGUCUAGUAUGGGUUUUAGCGAUGGCUCGAGUUCUGGUUGGAAUAGUUCUAGAUGUACGAGGUGCGGUAGGAGGCACAAGGGAGUCUGUCUAGUAGGGACAACAGCAUGUUUCAGGUGCGGACAGGAGGGACACAUAGCACGUGAGUGUUCCACCGCGACUUUGAUGACACAGUCCCAGCAGACAACCUCAGACAAAGUGGCUCAGCCAGGAGCUCUAGCCAUGGCGCUGGGCAGAGGCAGAGGGAGCGAGAUCACUCCUUCUUCCACAGGUUCCCCAGGUGAAGGUCCAUCAGUACCAGCACGGAUCUUCGCUUUGACGCAGCCGGAGGCUCACACAUCGGACAUAGCGGUGACAGGUACUUUUCACUUCCAUAUGUUUUGAUGUGUCUGCUAUUAGAGGCUCUGAUGUUUCGCUUUCCUUAGUGCUUUGAAAGCCAUAGAGAGUAGGGAUUAGAAUGUCCUCUUUGGGUCAAUAGACCCAAGUGUGAUCCAUCAGCGGCAGAGUCAGUCUGCCAGUUGAGUUUAGUGCGAGUUAUGAGUAGAUGCCUUCCAACUGACCUAGUGGUUCUAGAGUGAUUGUUUGAUGUCAUUCUAGGGGUGGAUGGGCUAGCUACUCAUAGUACUGCCUUAGAUAGCAGAGACAGAGUAGUCAGGCUUAGAGAUCAGGGUGGAUCACAGGUAGUUUGUUGAGGGGACAGUGUAGAGAUGCCUGGAGUUUGAUAUCAGCCCUAUAGGCUCUUAAGCUGUUUAGGAGAGGUUAUCAGAGGUUUCUUGCUUGUGUCAGAGAGCAUAGCAGUUAGUCAGAUCAUGAGGGGAACCAGUUUUAGUUCCCGCAGCCAGAGAAAAGUUUUAGAUAUUGUCCCAACAAGCCGUCAGGUUUACCACCUGCUAAGAGAAUAGCAUGGGAUAUAGGAAUGGUGUCUAGACCCAGAACCAUUCCUAAUCUUCUCUGCAGGAUGGCACCAGUAGAGUGAGAGAGAUAGUAAAAGCCAAACGAGUAGUAGCUAGAGGUUAGUAAGCCAGGAAAGAGCUCGAGAGUGUUGCUAUGAGAUGCUAUGACCUUGGAUUUUAUCCAGGUAUAGGGAGAGUGAUCUCUCAUCUCCGAGUGUAGCCCUCAAGUAUAAUAAAUAAUUCAGAGAACAGAGUAAGAAAUAGAAGAGUAAGAAAAGAAUAAAAGUAAGUAAGAGAAAAGUAAGUGAAAUAGAUCAGAAUGAGAAAAAGAGAAGAAUAAGUAAACUAGAGUAGAACAGAGGAAGAAAAGAGUAAGAAUAAGUGUAAGUUCAGGAGGAGACUUCAGUUUGGUCUGGGAUUUGGUGGUGGUUGAGGCAGAGAAAAGGGUUAGCCUUUUCUUUAGAUUCCCGAGGGAAGUUCCGUUAGCUUUAGCUCGGAUCUUCACCCUGACUCAGUAGGAGGCUAUCACAUCGAACACAGUGACGUCAGGUACGUUCACUUGUGGAUGUUCGGACGUGUAUGCUGUUUGUUUUGAACCUGAGUGUUUCUAUUUCCUUGUUGCUUAGUGAGCUGUUGAUAGAGUGGGUUUGAUAACUUCUGGGCUUAGAGUGUUUUCUCUAGGUCAGUGGACAUGAGUAUGAUCCAUCUGAGGCAGAGUUAGUCAGUCAGUCAGUUCAGAGUUUGUGGUGAGUAGAUGCUAUCCAGCUGACCUUAUGGUUCUAGAGUUGGCUAUCUGAUGUCAUUCUAGGGCGAAAUAGCUAAUUACUCAUUGUACUACCUGUGUCUGCAGAGACAAGGUAGGAGAGUUCAGAGUGCUGGAUGGAUCAGAGGUAGUCCUUGGAGGGGACAGAGUAUAGGUGCCUAGAGGUUUGAUGUCAGCCCAGCAGGCUCGUAGGUACACAGGAAAGGAUGUCAGAGGAUUCUAGCUCUUGUGAGCGAGUUUUGUAGUCAGAUCGGGGAAUUAGCCUCAAUGCCCGUAGUUAGUGAGUUCUAGAUGUUUUUCCCAUACGAACUGUCAGGUUUACCAUCUGUCAGGGAGUCAGAGAUUGGAAUAGAAGUGGUGUCUGGACGCGGAACCAUUUCUUUCCUUCUACCCUACAAGAUGGCACCUGUAGAGAGAGCAUAGUCAGAGUAGUAUAGAGAAGCUUGGUAGAUAAAGGUUGUCUCCGACCUAGUACCUCACCCUGGAAUGUUCCAGUGUCAGUGUGAGAAACGAAGGAUGAAACCUUGAGAUUUUGUAAUGACUGUGAGCAGUUGAACAAAAUCACUACCAAGGACAGGUGUUCCCAUGUAGAAUGGAUGAUCUAUAGGAACAACUAGUAGAAGCUGGUUGUUUUCCAUAAUAGAUCUGAGAGUCAGGAACUAUGUGUCGAAAGUUAGAGAAAAGUCAGUUUAGCAGUUGAGUGGAGAUGAGAUCUUUAUCGAUCAAAGGAGUUUAUAGUGAAGAGUCUAAAACAGAGGUAAGGGGUAAAAAUGCUCAGCGACUCUGAGUAUACAAAACAAUAUCUACUGGAUGAGGCAGAUGAGAUGUUAACUGCCCUCAGUCAGAAGUCGCUUACUAGCUUAUCCUAUAGAAACAGGUAUUAUUUCAUAUUGAUGAUCGGUUGGAUUAGCUGGCAGGAGCCAGUUGUUUUCCAAGCUAGAUCUGAAAUCUGAGUGCUAGCUGUUGAGAGCUAGAAUAGUCCAGUAUAGUUAGAAGGGAUCAGAAGAGAAGAAGCCAGUAUAGUAAAGAAGAAGAAAGGCGGGCAAGGAUCAAAGUGCGUAGCGGAAGGUUACAGUGUUGUUUAUGGUGUCUCCAGUUUGUAGUGAACCGUUGAGGGGUGAAAGAUAAAAGGUUAAAUCCAUGGAAUCCUGUAGAGGAUUAAAGAGAUAGGAUUAAUCUACUUCUAAGAGGAGAACCAUUUGGUUUCCUUAUUUCUUUUGUUCUGGAGUGGUGUUGGAUCCGAUAGAGGUUCUGUAUGAACCAGAGGUGGAGAUCUCAGGAAAUCUCACCUGUAUAGCAUAGUUAGAACGGAUCAUACACACUCAGCUCGCAGAAUAGAAGAAUAGGAAGAUUUGAGAAGAGAAGUCUUUUAGAAUCACCCCAGGAGUGUCGUAUGGAUAGGAGACCCAGGAGUUCUUACUCCAGCGAUAUCUGUGUAUCUCUUUGGAGAGAAGAUUUCCACUUCGUUUGUUUAUUUGUAUGUUUGUUAACAUUCGGGACGAAUGUUCUUAAAGCGGGGAAGAAUGUAAUACCCGGCUAGCUUAGGCAUCAGAAUUCCUACCGUCCGGGGGAAUUCGAGGAUGUCAGAGGUAUCUAGAAGUGUAAGAGAAAGGUUUUCUUAAAUGUUUUAAGUGUUUGACGGUUUUAAAGAGAGAAAGGAUUGAGUUUUGAAGAGAAAAGGCCAAGGAGGCAUUUUGCCAUGUUCGGCCGCCGAAGGUAAAGUUCGGCCACCGAAAAUGCCCAAGAUUCGGCCCCCGAAAGUCUGAGUUCGGCCGCCGAACGUUGCAUGGUUUUGCAUGCGAUUCGGCUGCCGAAGCUGAGGCGGUUGUUCAUCUAUAAAGGGCACCGAGUCCAGAAAAAAGGAAGAGGAUUCUUCUCUCUUUCUGGCCUAGGUGAGUUCUUGAUCUCCUUGGAUUGUUUUCAUGUUUUUUCAUCAAAUCUUUCAAAGUUAAACAAGUUUUAAGUAAGUUUUAUGUGUUUUUGAAGAGUUUGAAAGCUUAGAGGAGUUUGGAGCUUGGAUCUCCAUAUCUUCGAGUUUGGAUCACACCAGCCUUUGUUCUUCAAGAGGUAAGUGGAGAUCCUUGGUUUUUAUACUGUUUUCUAUGAGUUUUAUGAAGGGAAGGGGAGUUAAUGCUUGAGUUUGCAUGAGUUGUGCAUAUUAGGGUUUAUGGACCCUUUAUGCUUUAUGUUUGCUUGCUGAGCUUGUUUGUUGGAGUUAAAGUUGUCUUAAGCUCCUAUAUGCUUGUUGUUUUGAGAUAUGGAUGAGUUAGAGAGGUUGGAUGCAUGUUGGGAAGGAUUGGAAGGUGUGGGAGGCGUGUUUAUGCACGAAGCUGAGUUCUGGAUGAACUCAGGUUCGGCAGCCGAAGGAGGAUUCGGCCGCCGAACAUGCCCGACUUUCAUCUCUGGAGGAGACAUUCGGCCGCCGAAGGUGCUGCCGAAGGUGUCCUGUCCAACCUUCCUUUGCUUGUUUUGCAUGCAUGUUUUGAGGUGUUCUAGAGGGAUUUUGGGGAGUUGUUUAUCAGGUGCAUAGAGUAUGUUUGGUGCCUCAUUUGCGUCCUCCAUUGUAGGAUUGGACCCGAGGAACCGAGGUGUUUAGCAGUAGUAGCUGCUUCAGAGUUAGAGGUAGCCCAGAGUUAGCCAAGCAGUGGCUACAGGUGAGUGGAACUAAACUUCAUAUUUUACUUGAGAAAUGACACGUUUCUAGCAUGAUCCAUGCAUCAUAAAAUGCCAUGUUAUGUAUUAGGUUGUGUUGCAUUAGAAUUCACGAAUAUGAUGCAUUGCAUAAGAUGUUGUUACUGUGGAUGAAUGUUGGAUGAUCCUUAGCCCUUGAUAGAGAUAUGAUACUAUGAGAUGAGUUAUGGCAUGAGAUAGCCAUACCAGGUCACUCCUGGAUAGUCCAGGUCGCUCCUGGUACUAUGAGUUAGACAGAUAGCCUGUCAGAGCAGAGAUAAGAGAAGUCCAGGUGAUGACCUAGUCUCUUUGGCACAGUGGGACAUGUUAUGAUAUGAGACAGAUAAGAGAAGUCCAGGUGAUGACCUAGUCUCCUUGGCACAGCAGGACAUAUUAUGACAUGUAGUAGAGGGCUAUUGGUGACAAGUUCAUCCGUGAGAUGAUAUGUUUGUGAUGUGAUGCAUUUCAUGAAAACAUGUAAUGAAU
rnacentral:lncRNA from 1 species